rnacentral:tRNA from 1 species
GUGAGUAUAGCUCAGUGGUAGAGCACAUGCUUAGCAUGCAUGAGGUCCUGGGUUCAACCCCUAGUACCUCCA